GCAAGUAGUCCCAUGGAAGAUCUGAUCAGGAACAUCAUGAUAUUCCAGCAAAAUUACAAGAAACACAGCAGAACUAAACAAGGGGAAGUGUUGAGCAAUCUUACCCUUAGACUUGUCCGUCUACAAAUAAACGGGAGGUAGAAAGCAGACUCAGAGCUUCUCCUUUUAAUUGAUUAUCUGAGAUCUCUCCAGCCAUGUGAGGAGUGUGGGCAAAUAUUUUUUGCUGCUGCUCUGUUAUGUAGAGCAACAACAACAACAAAAAAGGUGACUUUCCUUUGAGGCAUGGGAGGAGUGUUAAGCUUUGUGUAGGCACCUGACUGUAUCUCAAACUAGUAGAUGAGGCUGUUUCCCAUUGCAUUUUGCAACACUGUAAAACCCUAGAAAAACAGAUGAACAAAAUAUUGAUAAUUGGGUCCUUAAGGAAGAGCGAUUUAAAUCUUUCAUUUUUAUUGGCAGUGCUGCUUUUCUUCCUCCACAUCCAGAAGUAACGGAGGUCAAGCGAAUGGCUUCUACUUCCUUGUUGCAGUGCGGGUUAAUCUUCAGGAGACCUUGUACUUCAUGAACCAGGAGUUCAACCUGAGAAGGUUUUGAGGCCUUUCACAAAAGGGCAUAGCUGAACAAUAGCGCUUGAGCUAAAAACUAGCCUCUAGCAAUGUAACCUGCCUGUUGAUUCACAUCUGCAGUUACUGCUGGCUGGAAUCCUUUCAUUUUGGUGACCUGCAGAACCAAGAUGCAACUUACAACAAAAAUCCUUCUCACAAGCUUACAAGACAUUUAUGUUAUUGGCAUCUGACUUUAUCAUGAGUCUCAAGUAAUACUG